UACGUAGGGUGCGAGCGUUAAUCGGAAUUACUGGGCGUAAAGCGUGCGCAGGCGGUUCGUUAAGUCAGAUGUGAAAGCCCCGGGCUCAACCGGGGAACUGCAUUUGAAACUGGCGGGCUUGAGUGUGGCAGAGGGGGGUGGAAUUCCGAGUGUAGCAGUGAAAUGCGUAGAGAUGCGGAGGAACACCGAUGGCGAAGGCAGCUCCCUGGGCCAACACUGACGCUCAGGCACGAAAGCGUGGGGAGCAAACAGG
rnacentral:rRNA from 1 species